rnacentral:rRNA from 1 species
GACGAACGCUGGCGGCGUGCUUAACACAUGCAAGUCGAACGGAAAGGCCCUGCUUUUGUGGGGUGCUCGAGUGGCGAACGGGUGAGUAACACGUGAGUAACCUGCCCUUGACUUUGGGAUAACUUCAGGAAACUGGGGCUAAUACCGGAUAGGAGCUCCUGCUGCAUGGUGGGGGUUGGAAAGUUUCGGCGGUUGGGGAUGGACUCGCGGCUUAUCAGCUUGUUGGUGGGGUAGUGGCUUACCAAGGCUUUGACGGGUAGCCGGCCUGAGAGGGUGACCGGGCACAAUGGGACCGGGGAUAGGGCCCGGACUCUAACGGGGGGAAGCGGGGGGAAUAAUUGCAAAAGGGGCGGAGGCUGAAGGCACCAACGCCGCGUGGGGAAGGACGGCCUUCGGGUGGAAAACCGCUUUGGCCGGUAAGGAGGCGUGAGGAAGGGUAAUGGGUAAAAAGACACGGCUUAACUCCUU